ensembl:lncRNA
GCUUGAAGGCUGGCUAACAUUAUUGACACUUAGUUUAGAAUUAAUUAUAACACUACAACUGUCUUUCUGUUAGUAAUGACACACUGGUUUCACCAGUCACGUUUGUCAUGAUAAUUUUAUAUUAAUGUGAAAAGUUGUCUUUGCAGUAGUCAUUUUCGGUUAAUGUAAUGUUAGUCAAGUCAAACCCAUCUAGAGAGAAGUUCAGUUGUCUGAAAAAGAAAUGUUGUGCAGAUAUGAACAGAGAUGUGAAAUGAUGGAUGGAGAGGUUGGCAACUAAUUUCAAAGAGAGUAUUUUAUUAGACAGAUGAGUGGGAAAGUCACAUGUAAAGGGUUAGUAGAGAUGAGUGGGACAGUCACAUGUAAAGGGUUAGUAGGGAUGAGUGGGACAGUCACAUGUAAAGGGUUAGUAGAGAUUAGUGGGACAGUCACAUUUAAAGGGUUAGUAGAGAUGAGUGGGACAGUCACAUGUAACAGGUUAGUAGAGAUGAGUGGGACAGUCACAUGUAAAUAGUCAGUAGAGAUGAGUGGGACAGUCACAUGUAAAGGGUUAGUAGAGAUGAGUGGGACAGUCACAUGUAAAGGGUUAGUAGAGAUGAGUGGGACAGUCACAUUUAAAGGGUUAGUAGAGAUGAGUGGGACAGUCACAUGUAACGGGUUAGUAGAGAUGAGUGGGACAGUCACAUGUAAAUGGUCAGUAGAGAUGAGUGGGACAGUCACAUGUAAAGGGUUAGUAGAGAUGAGUGGGACAGUCACAUGUAAAGGGUUAGUAGAGAUGAGUGGGACAGUCACAUGUAAAGGGUUAGUAGAGAUGAGUGGGACAGUCACAUGUAAAGGGUUAGUAGAGAUGAGUGGGACAGUCACAUGUAAAGGGUUAGUAGAGAUGAGUGGGACAGUCACAUGUAAAGGGUUAGUAGAGAUGAGUGGGACAGUCACAUGUAAAGGGUUAGUAGAGAUGAGUGGGACAGUCACAUGUAAAGGGUUAGUAGAGAUGAGUGGGACAGUCACAUGUAACGGGUUAGUAGAGAUGAGUGGGACAGUCACAUGUAAAGUGUUAGUAGAGAUGAGUGGGACAGUCACAAGUAAAGUGUUAGUAGAGAUGAGUGGGACAGUCACAUGUAAAAGGUUAGUAGAGAUGAGUGGGACAGUCACAUGUAAAGGGUAAGUAGAGAUGAGUGAGACAGUCACAUGUAAAGGGUUAGUAGAGAUGAGUGGGACAGUCACAUGUAAAGGGUUAGUAGAGAUGAGUGGGACAGUCACAUGUAAAGGGUUAGUAGAGAUGAGUGGGACAGUCACAUGUAAAGGGUUAGUAGAGAUGAGUGGGACAGUCACAUGUAAAGGGUUAGUAGAGAUGAUUGGGACAGUCACGUGUAAAGGGUUAGUCAUUUUUCUAAUCUGUAUAAUGUUUUUUAUUACCUGAAAAUUCCUUCCUGAUUAUGUGAUGACAUCACAGCUUCUCUUCUUCAGAUAGAGCAGAAAUGUUACAGAGAUGGGAAUGAUAAUAUCUCUGAAAAGUAAGCAGAUCACAGAGCGUUGAACCAAAAGACUUCUGGAUUAAAUCCCAGAGCCAACGAGGUGAAACUAAUUUGCUGUUGUCACAUCCACCUCCAUGGCAAAUCCUCUUCCUGUUCCGGCGCAAACGAUGGGCGUCGCCGGCCUUCUAGCUAGUACUGCCUUAGCAUUCAUUACCCAAUCAUGGACUGUCUUUGUGCAAUCAGUGAUCACACUUGGUUAUUGUUUCCCCCAUUAGCUGUAUGUAUAUAGUUCCCUCUGUUCCUUGUGGGCUAUUGUGUAUGUUGCGUUGGUUACCUUUCUAGGAUAUAGUAACAUUACUGUAGUAAAGGUUUGUUGUGCGCCCUAUGUAAGGGCAACAUUUAUUUUAAGUCCUAACUUACUUUUGGUGUGAAUUUCCUUUGGAUUCAAAUAAAAGCCCUUAUUACCUGCAACUGCCUCUGCUUCCCUUCCUGAAACAUGACAGCUGUUCUGAAUUUGAUCAAGGUAAUAAAACUCUUUUGCUACCCAGGCACUCAGUGUGACAGACCUCUCCAAUUUAGAAGAGGAAGUCAAAUAUUUGGUUGGAUCUUCUUUGUCAUCAUUAUUUUUCUUUUCAGUCAGUGUUGUGUAAAAGUAGGGUUCUCACCUUUAGCUCUGUUCCUGUUCCUGCUGUGUUUCACCAUCAGUACAGUGGUCACUAUCAGGUAUGGAGACACCACCAGUAGACUACACAACAGCCUGGACAGAGAGACUCUGGAGUCACUACAUGACUCUGGAGGGGGAAGUGGAGAUGAAGAUGAAGGUGGAGAUGUGGAUGAAGGUGGAGAUGAGGUUGGAGAUGGAGAUGGAGAUGAGGGUGGAGGUGAAGAUGGAGAUGAGGUUCCUGGGGAAAGAAUUUUAGGACCACAACACACUCAGUGCAGAUAGACUUUCUCACACCAGAGAACACAGACAUCACACUAACAACCUAGGGUUCAACCUGAAAUUAGCUUGCUAAUCCCAAAUCCUACCUUGUAGUAUAGGCCUCUGGUCUAC